rnacentral:rRNA from 1 species
CCUACGGGUGGCAGCAGUGAGGAAUAUUGGUCAAUGGGCGCGAGCCUGAACCAGCCACGUAGCGUGAAGGAUGACUGCCCUACGGUUUGUAAACUUCUUUUAUAUGGGAAUACAAUGUUCCUAGUGUGUGAUUUUGUAUGUACCAUAUGAAUAAGGAUCGGCUAACUCCGUGCCAGCCGCCGCGGUAAUACGGAGGAUCCGAGCGUUAUCCGGAUUUAUUUGGUUUAAAGGGAGCGUAGGUGGGUUGUUAAGUCAGUUUUGAAAGUUUGCGGCUCAACCGUAAAAUUGCAGUUGAAACUGGCAGUCUUGAGUACAGUAGAGGUAGGCGGAAUUCGAGGUGUAGCGGUGAAAUGCUUAGAUAUAACGAAGAACUCCGAUUGCGAAGGCAGUUCACUGGACUGAAACUGACACUGAGGCUCGAAAGUGUGGGUAUCAAACAGGAUUAGAUACCCGUGUAGUC